rnacentral:rRNA from 1 species
UACGUAGGGGGCAAGCGUUGUCCGGAUUUAUUGGGCGUAAAGAGCGUGUAGGCGGCUUGGUAGGUCCGCUGUGAAAACUCGAGGCUCAACCUCGAGAUGUCGGCGGAAACCACUUGGCUAGAGUCCGGAAGAGGAGAGUGGAAUUCCCCGGUGUAGCGGUGAAAUGCGCAGAUAUCGGGAAGAACACCAACGGCGGAAGGCAGCUCGCUGGGACGGUACUGACGCUGAGACGCGAAAAGCGUGGGGAGCAAACAGG